CGAUGAUGCCCAGCUUGCUGGGUGGAUUAGUGGCGAACGGGUGAGUAACACGUGAGUAACCUGCCCUUAACUCUGGGAUAAGCCUGGGAAACUGGGUCUAAUACCGGAUAUGACCUUCCAUCGCAUGGUGGUUGGUGGAAAGCUUUUGUGGUUUUGGAUGGACUCGCGGCCUAUCAGCUUGUUGGUGAGGUAAUGGCUUACCAAGGCGACGACGGGUAGCCGGCCUGAGAGGGUGACCGGCCACACUGGGACUGAGACACGGCCCAGACUCCUACGGGAGGCAGCAGUGGGGAAUAUUGCACAAUGGGCGCAAGCCUGAUGCAGCGACGCCGCGUGAGGGAUGACGGCCUUCGGGUUGUAAACCUCUUUCAGUAGGGAAGAAGCGAAAGUGACGGUACCUGCAGAAGAAGCGCCGGCUAACUACGUGCCAGCAGCCGCGGUAAUACGUAGGGCGCAAGCGUUAUCCGGAAUUAUUGGGCGUAAAGAGCUCGUAGGCGGUUUGUCGCGUCUGCCGUGAAAGUCCGGGGCUCAACUCCGGAUCUGCGGUGGGUACGGGCAGACUAGAGUGAUGUAGGGGAGACUGGAAUUCCUGGUGUAGCGGUGAAAUGCGCAGAUAUCAGGAGGAACACCGAUGGCGAAGGCAGGUCUCUGGGCAUUAACUGACGCUGAGGAGCGAAAGCAUGGGGAGCGAACAGGAUUAGAUACCCUGGUAGUCCAUGCCGUAAACGUUGGGCACUAGGUGUGGGGGACAUUCCACGUUUUCCGCGCCGUAGCUAACGCAUUAAGUGCCCCGCCUGGGGAGUAC
rnacentral:rRNA from 1 species